rnacentral:lncRNA from 1 species
CAGGAUGAUACGACAAAGAAAUCAACUUUAUUUAUUUGCAUAUAUAUAAGUUUAAUUGGAAUGUGCAGUUUCAUGUGUAAAUUAUUCUCACAAGUUAUAUGUAACACUCAUUCCAUCUCAUCUUAUUGUGAGUACAAUACAUGUGCACUUACUGAUAGCGAAAGCAGUGGUUACUUUGAAUGCAAAUCCUGCAUAGUGAAAAUUUGACACAUGUUGGCAUCUUAUUCAACUUUUAGAUGGUACCGUGCCAAAUAAAAUUGAGCUUUCCAUGAAAUAGGAAUAUCAAAUCUCAUUUUACUUAGAUAAACUAAUACAUGUUUCCCUAUGCUGUCUACUCCAACCCUAUUGGAACUUCAAGGAAUACGUUAUGAUAGAAAAAAAUAUAGGUUUUAAGGCUUCUCCAUCCAUAAAUUUGGGUUGGGUAAAUCACUUGCCAUAACUCAUUAAUCAUCUUGAUAAACUUCAAAAGAAGUAAAAGCUUGACAUUGAGAAUCCAGCAGCAUAAUUAGGAAUUACAGGCUAUCACAAGACACAUAACUGAGUUUUCUAUAUCAUGUUCACUUUACAUAAGUAAGUUUUUCAAGUUGUACGUACAUUGUAAAGCUCAAAUUCUUAGUAUAAGGUAUUUAAACGAGUUCACAAUUCAAGCAAAUUAUUUACUCGGUCCUUUUUUCCUGUUCAAAAAAUCCCCCCCUUUUAUUUUUAAUAUAUUUUCUUUCAGUUUCUCUCGAUUGCAAACACAAAAUUUUCACAUUAACAUCCGAUUGCGAACAUAAAAUGGGGUUACUUGAGAGUUCAUGGAAUAUAGAAAUCAUUUGAAACAGAUUACGAACUAGGGUUCCAGAGAAUUCAUGGAAAAUCACAACAGAUUAAGAUUUGUGAGACUACUUACCGAUUAAUAGCAAAUAGAUGCUUUAGUCGAAUAAUUUUGGAUGAACAACACCCAAAUUUCCACAACUUGAAGCCAAUUUAUAGAGAAAUCGACUAGGGUUCUUGAGAUCGCAUAAAUCACAUCAUUCCCCUAUUGCAGAGUUUUGUGACCUUUUCCCCCAAUUCAGUUAUGUCAUCCGCUAGUACUUCUAGCGGAGUAGGGGCAUAAAAGUCUAGAUUUUAUUAUAACGUCGUCCGCUAGUAGUUUUAGAGGACGUAGUUUUUCCAAUUUCAAUCUGGG